CUAUUUAUAUACCUAUUUAUCAUAUGGUAUACUUAACACCUUAAAUCUAUUCACAUUGUAAUGAAUUGAACUAAAUAGUCUAAAAUUAAAAAUUUAGAAUCAAUUAAUAUAAUUUAUUCACAAAAUCCUAUUAAUAUGCUCCUAACUAAUCACUUGUAUUUCUAAAAGUUCAAGCACAUAGAAAACAUGCACUAAAAAAUUAAGAAAAAAGAAAAUAAUGUAGAAUAACAUAAAAAGAAAAAAUGAAAAUUUUUUAAAAUUUUCCUAAGUCACCCCCA
rnacentral:lncRNA from 1 species